rnacentral:rRNA from 1 species
CCUACGGGAGGCAGCAGUGGGGAAUAUUGCACAAUGGGGGAAACCCUGAUGCAGCGACGCCGCGUGAGUGAAGAAGUAAUUCGUUAUGUAAAGCUCUAUCAGCAGGGAAGAAAAUGACGGUACCUGAGUAAGAAGCCACGGCGAACGACGUGCCAGCAGCCGCGGUAAUACGUAGGGGCAAGCGUUAUCCGGAUUUACUGGGUGGAAAGGGAGCGGAGACGGCAGUGCACGUCUGGAGUGAAAGGCGGGGGCUCAACCCCCGGACUGCUCUGGAAACUGUACGGCUGGAGUGCAGGAGAGGUCAGUGGACUUCCUAGUGUAGCGGUGAAAUGCGUAGAUAUUAGGAGGAACACCAGUGGCGCAGGCGGCUUACUGGACUGUACCUGCCGUUGAGGCUCGAACGCGUGGGGAGCAAACAGGAUUAGCUACCCGAGUAGUC